rnacentral:rRNA from 1 species
AGCGAACGCUGGCGGCAGGCUUAACACAUGCAAGUCGAGCGGGCAUAGCAAUAUGUCAGCGGCAGACGGGUGAGUACCGCGUGGGAACGUACCUUUUGGUUCGGAACAACACAGGGAAACUUGUGCUAAUACCGGAUAAGCCCUUACGGGGAAAGAUUUAUCGCCGAAAGAUCGGCCCGCGUCGGAUUAGCUAGUUGGUGAGGUAAUGGCUCACCAAGGCGACGAUCAGUAGCUGGUCUGAGAGGAUGAUCAGCCACAUUGGGACUGAGACACGGCCCAAACUCCUACGGGAUGCAGCAGUGGGGAAUAGUGGACAAUGGGCGCAAGGCUGAUCCAGCCAGGCCGCGUGAGUGAUGAAAGCCCUAGGGUUGUAAAGCUCUUUUGUGCGGGAAGAUAAUGACGGUACCGCAAGAAUAAGCCCCGGCUAACUUCGUG